CCUACGGGUGACAGCAGUGGGGAAUAUUGCACAAUGGGGGAAACCCUGAUGCAGCGACGCCGCGUGAGUGAAGAAGUAAUUCGUUAUGUAAAGCUCUAUCAGCAGGGAAGAAAAUGACGGUACCCGGAGAAAAAGCAUCGGCUAACGCCGUGCCAGCAGCCGCGGUAAUACGGAGGAUGCGAGCGUUAUCCGGAUUGAUUGGGUUUAAAGGGUGCGUAGGCGGGCUUUGAAGUCAGCGGUAAAAAUUCGGGGCUCAACCCCGUCCGGCCGUUGAAACUGGGGGCCUUGAGUGGGCGAGAAGAAGGCGGAAUGCGUGGUGUAGCGGUGAAAUGCAUAGAUAUCACGCAGAACCCCGAUUGCGAAGGCAGCCUUCCGGCGCCCUACUGACGCUGAGGCACGAAAGUGCGGGGAUCGAACAGGAUUAGAUACCCGAGUAGUC
rnacentral:rRNA from 1 species